AGUGAACGCUGGCGGUAGGCCUAACACAUGCAAGUCGAACGGCAGCACAGUAAGAGCUUGCUCUUACGGGUGGCGAGUGGCGGACGGGUGAGGAAUACAUCGGAAUCUACUUUUUCGUGGGGGAUAACGUAGGGAAACUUACGCUAAUACCGCAUACGACCUACGGGUGAAAGCAGGGGAUCUUCGGACCUUGCGCGAUUGAAUGAGCCGAUGUCGGAUUAGCUAGUUGGCGGGGUAAAGGCCCACCAAGGCGACGAUCCGUAGCUGGUCUGAGAGGAUGAUCAGCCACAAUUGAACUGAGACACGGUCCCGACUCCCACGGGAGGCAGCAGUGGGGAAUAUUGGACAAUGGGCGCAAGCCUGAUCCAGCCAUACCGCGUGGGUGAAGAAGGCCUUCGGGUUGUAAAGCCCUUUUGUUGGGAAAGAAAAGCAGCAGGUUAAUACCCCGCUGUUCUGACGGUACCCAAAGAAUAAGCACCGGCUAACUUCGUG
rnacentral:rRNA from 1 species